GAUGAACGCUGGCGGCGUGCUUAACACAUGCAAGUCGAACGGAAAGGCUCCUGCUUGCAGGGGUACUCGAGUGGCGAACGGAUGAGUAACACGUGGGUGAUCUGCCCUGCACUUCGGGAUAAGCCUGGGAAACUGGGUCUAAUACCGGAUAGGACGAUGGUUUGGAUGCCAUUGUGGAAAGUUUUUCGGUGUGGGAUGAGCUCGCGGCCUAUCAGCUUGUUGGUGGGGUAAUGGCCUACCAAGGCGUCGACGGGUAGCCGGCCUGAGAGGGUGUACGGCCACAUUGGGACUGAGAUACGGCCCAGACUCCUACGGGAGGCAGCAGUGGGGAAUAUUGCACAAUGGGCGCAAGCCUGAUGCAGCGACGCCGCGUGGGGGAUGACGGCCUUCGGGUUGUAAACUCCUUUCGUUAGGGACGAAGCGCAAGUGACGGUACCUGGAGAAGAAGCACCGGCUAACUACGUGCCAGCAGCCGCGGUAAUACGUAGGGUGCGAGCGUUGUCCGGAAUUACUGGGCGUAAAGAGCUCGUAGGUGGUUUGUCGCGUCGUUUGUGUAAGCCCGCAGCUUAACUGCGGGACUGCAGGCGAUACGGGCAUAACUUGAGUGCUGUAGGGGAGACUGGAAUUCCUGGUGUAGCGGUGGAAUGCGCAGAUAUCAGGAGGAACACCGAUGGCGAAGGCAGGUCUCUGGGCAGUAACUGACGCUGAGGAGCGAAAGCAUGGGUAGCGAACAGGAUUAGAUACCCUGGUAGUCCAUGCCGUAAACGGUGGGCGCUAGGUGUGAGUCCCUUCCACGGGGUUCGUGCCGUAGCUAACGCAUUAAGCGCCCCGCCUGGGGAGUACGGCCGCAAGGCUAAAACUCAAAGGAAUUGACGGGGGCCCGCACAAGCGGCGGAGCAUGUGGAUUAAUUCGAUGCAACGCGAAGAACCUUACCUGGGCUUGACAUACACCAGACCGGGCCAGAGAUGGUCUUUCCCUUUGUGGUUGGUGUACAGGUGGUGCAUGGUUGUCGUCAGCUCGUGUCGUGAGAUGUUGGGUUAAGUCCCGCAACGAGCGCAACCCUUGUCUUAUGUUGCCAGCACGUUAUAGUGGGGACUCGUGAGAGACUGCCGGGGUUAACUCGGAGGAAGGUGGGGAUGACGUCAAAUCAUCAUGCCCCUUAUGUCCAGGGCUUCACACAUGCUACAAUGGUCGGUACAACGCGUCUGCGAGCCUGUGAGGGUGAGCUAAUCGCUGUAAAGCCGGUCGUAGUUCGGAUUGGGGUCUGCAACUCGACCCCAUGAAGUCGGAGUCGCUAGUAAUCGCAGAUCAGCAACGCUGCGGUGAAUACGUUCCCGGGCCU
rnacentral:rRNA from 1 species